AUUGAACGCUGGCGGCAGGCCUAACACAUGCAAGUCGAGCGGAGCGGCGGACGGGGGAGUAAUGCCUAGGAAUCUGCCUGGUAGUGGGGGAUAACGUCAGGAAACGGGCGCUAAUACCGCAUAAUAUCAGAUGAGCCUAGGUCGGAUUAGCUAGUGGGUGGGGUAAAGGCCUCCCAAGGCGCCGAUCCUUAACUGGUCUGAGAGGAGGAUCAGUCACACUGGAACUGAGACACGGUCCAGACUCCUACGGGAGGCAGCAGUGGGGAAUAUUGGCCAAUGGGCGAAAGCCUGAUCCAGCCAUGCCGCGUGUGUGAAGAAGGUCUUCGGAUUGUAAAGCACUUUAAGUUGGGAGGCGUUACCAACAGAAUAAGCACCGGCUAACUUCGUGCCAGCAGCCGCGGUAAUUC
rnacentral:rRNA from 1 species